CUCAUAUUACAAAGAAUUUUUUUUAAAGGAAAAAGAAAAAAGGGAAGAAUAGGAAGCUGAAAGAAAGGAGAGGAACCGUGACUGAGAUAGAUGGGAUGAAGGGAACAGAUGAGGUAGAGGAGGCAGAACUAUUCACUUCAAUUUUGCUUUUCUGAUGUAUUCCAAGAAGAACCGUCUUUGGGCUGGGCUGGGCUAGAAUAUAAAUGGUUAACAGGGAGUUGCAAUCCAGCAUAAAUAAGAAGAUAAGAAUGCCCCUGGACUCUGUGCUUGGCUUUGUUCCAUUUAGCAUUUCAAUCAAGGACUUGGAUGAAGUCAAGGAUGACAUGACAUCCAAAUAUCAACAACUUGGAAGAAGUCAAGGAUGACACACCAUACAAAUCUCGAUGACUUGGAUGAAGUCAAGGACAAUAUGCCAUCUAAAUCAACAGAUGACACAGAGCUAGCAGGGAUAGCUGGCUAGCAAACUGAAUGACAAUCAGGAACUGAAACAACAACUGAAACAAACAAACAAAAAAAGGUGAUAGAGAUAAUUGAAAAAAACGUGUGCAGCCUAAGUCCCAAAACCACUGGUGUGGGACUCUCUCCUCGUUGGUGGAGGGUCAGAGUUGAGGAGAGUGGGAGAGAGGAGAGCUCCUGUCUCUUUUGCCUCUUCAGCCUUUACUGUCAAUUUGGGCUUCUGGUUCCCGUGUCAAGAGAAAAGACGGAUGAUGCCAAUUCCACUUCAGACUGCUGAAGGAAAAGCCAGCUUGAGAGGAGCUGGCAAUCUCCAUCAAGUCCAUAUUCCCAGCUUGCUACACUAGAGACUUCAAGAAAUUUUCCUUUGGGUAUUAAUUCAGUUUCCCUUCAAGCAUUUGAAGAUGGAGCUAAUUUAAUACAAGACAAGAUUGUUGGGAUUCCUACAGUUUCUGGCUUACUCAGGAACUCCUUCUGCCUAGCCAGCUCAAGAGUGCUAAUAGCCCCCACAACCCCUUGAUUUGCCCCAUUCUUCCAGUCUCCUGAGACGUUCCUAUAUCCUGAUUCCGCCAACUAGCGUGCCUAUCUUUGGGUCAUCCAAAAUUUUGUAAGCAUGCUCUAUCUAUGCCUCCAUAUAAGUCACUGAAGAAUGUUGAGCACAACAGAAACAAAAAUAGUUUCAUGAUACUUCACUAGAGACCUACCUCUAGGUCGGCAUCAAUUCAUUAACCAACACUCUUUACAUCUAGUGGACCACACCUAAUUGUACUAUUAUUUAUUCCAAAUAUCUCCAUCUUGUCCACUAGGAUAUGAGAUUUUUGUUGAAUGCCUUGAUCAAAUUCAGAUAUAUUCUAUGUCCAUGAGCAGAACUAGAGACCUCAGUGAUAAAAGCAACUUCUGUAUCUUGCCACUUUCCUACUAUGUCUAUGAUAUUCUCCUCAUCUAUUAGUCUAAUAACUAAAAAAAAAAAAGGGAGGGGGAGAUUAGGUUAUUCUGGAAUAAAUAAAAUUGUUCUUGACCUAUGGCA